GCCCCCGUAGCUCAAUUGGACAGAGUAAUGGACUUCGAAUCCAGAGGUUGAGAGUUCGAGCCUCUCCGGGGGCGCCA
rnacentral:tRNA from 1 species